rnacentral:rRNA from 2 species
CAGUCGAGCGGAUUGAUGGGAGCUUGCUCCCAUCAGUCAGCGGCGGACGGGUGAGUAACACGUGGGUAACCUGCCUGUAAGACUGGGAUAACUCCGGGAAACCGGGGCUAAUACCGGAUAACUCAUUUCCUCGCAUGAGGAAAUGUUGAAAGGUGGCUUUUAGCUAUCACUUACAGAUGGACCCGCGGCGCAUUAGCUAGUUGGUGAGGUAACGGCUCACCAAGGCGACGAUGCGUAGCCGACCUGAGAGGGUGAUCGGCCACACUGGGACUGAGACACGGCCCAGACUCCUACGGGAGGCAGCAGUAGGGAAUCUUCCGCAAUGGACGAAAGUCUGACGGAGCAACGCCGCGUGAGUGAUGAAGGUUUUCGGAUCGUAAAACUCUGUUGUUAGGGAAGAACAAGUACCGUUCGAAUAGGGCGGUACCUUGACGGUACCUAACCAGAAAGCCACGGCUAACUACGUGCCAGCAGCCGCGGUAAUACGUAGGUGGCAAGCGUUGUCCGGAAUUAUUGGGCGUAAAGCGCGCGCAGGUGGUUCCUUAAGUCUGAUGUGAAAGCCCACGGCUCAACCGUGGAGGGUCAUUGGAAA